CUGUCUCUUGCUUCAACAGGGUUUGGACGGAACAG
rfam:Myotis lucifugus cont2.67553, whole genome shotgun sequence.